GUGCUCUCUUCGGCAGCACAUCUACUAAAAACUGGAAUGACACAGAGAUCAAUGUGGCCCCUGCACAGGGAUGACACACAAAUUCGUGAAGAAUUCCAUUUUUUU